rnacentral:rRNA from 1 species
CCUACGGGAGGCAGCAGUGGGGAAUAUUGCACAAUGGGCGAAAGCCUGAUGCAGCAACGCCGCGUGAGCGAUGAAGGCCUUCGGGUCGUAAAGCUCUGUCCUCAAGGAAGAUAAUGACGGUACUUGAGAAGGAAGCCCCGGCUAACUACGUGCCAGCAGCCGCGGUAAUACGGGGGAUGCAAGCGUUAUCCGGAUUUAUUGGGUUUAAAGGGUGCGUAGGCUGUGAGGUAAGUCAGCGGUGAAAUGCCCCCGCUCAACGGGGUGAAGUGCCAUUGAUACUGCCUUGCUGGAAUGCGGAUGCGGUGGGAGGAAUGUGUGGUGUAGCGGUGAAAUGCAUAGAUAUCACACAGAACACCGAUUGCGAAGGCAUCUCACGAAUCCGCGAUUGACGCUGAUGCACGAAAGCGUGGGUAUCAAACAGGAUUAGAUACCCUUGUAGUC